rnacentral:rRNA from 1 species
GACGAACGCUGGCGGCGUGCUUAACACAUGCAAGUCGAACGGAAAGGCCCUGCUUUUGUGGGGUGCUCGAGUGGCGAACGGGUGAGUAACACGUGAGUAACCUGCCCUUGACUUUGGGAUAACUUCAGGAAACUGGGGCUAAUACCGGAUAGGAGCUCCUGCUGCAUGGUGGGGGUUGGAAAGUUUCGGCGGUUGGGGAUGGACUCGCGGCUUAUCAGCUUGUUGGUGGGGUAGUGGCUUACCAAGGCUUUGACGGGUAGCUGGCCUGAGAGGGUGACCGGCCACAUUGGGACUGAGUUACGGCCCAGACUCCUUCGUGAGGCAGCAGUGGGGAAUAUUGCACAAUGGGCGGAAGCCUGAUGCAGCAACGCCGCGUGCGGGAUGACGGCCUUCGGGUUGUAAACCGCUUUCGCCUGUGACGAAGCGUGAGUGACGGUAAUGGGUAAAGAAGCACCGGCUAACUACGUG